AGAUUAGAUUCAAUAAUUUGGUUAGAUAAGGGAAGCGAAAAUGGAAGAUUCUAAUUACAAAACCCUCCAAAUCAAGCGGAAAUCCCCAAAUUCAAGAGUGUUUAAUCUGGUAAUCAACCGCCCCUCCCGCGGCAAUGCUCUCUCCGCCGACUUCUUCACCGAGUUCCCCGCCGCCCUCUCCUCCCUCGACCGCAACCCCGACGUCGCCGUCGUCGUCCUCUCCGGCGCCGGCAAGCACUUCUGCACGGGGAUCGACCUCCACCUCCUCAAUUCCAUCACUCAUGACGCCGGAUCCGCGGAGGAGGGGCGCUAUCGUGAGAAACUCCGCCGCGAGAUCAAGUCAAUGCAGCAGACCGUGACGGCGGUGGAGGAGUGCAGGAAGCCGGUGAUCGCGGCCGUCCACGGCGCGUGCAUCGGCGGAGGCGUGGACAUAAUCACGGCGUGCGAUCUGAGGUACUGCACGGAGCAGGCGGAGUUCUCGGUGAAGGAGGUGGAUCUCGCGAUCACGGCGGAUCUCGGGACGCUGCAGAGGCUCCCCGGCAUCGUCGGGUUCGGGAACGCGAUGGAGCUGGCGCUCACGGCGCGGCACUUCUCUGGAUUGGAGGCGAUGCGGCUAGGGCUCGUGUCGCGAGUUUUCGGAGAUAGAGAAGCUAUGGAGAAAGGGGUAGCUGAAGUGGCCGAGGGGAUUGCUGGGAGAUCGCCGCUUGCUAUAAUUGGGACGAAGCGGGUGUUGAUUAAGAGCAGGGACAUGGCGUUGCAGCAAGGUUUGGAUUAUGUUGCCACGUGGAACUCUGCGGUGCUUAUCUCUGACGAUUUGAAAGAAGCAGUUUCUGCUCACCUCCAGAAGAGGAAAUCGUUGUUUGCUAAGCUCUGACUCUCUCUCUCUCUACACACAUUCACAUAAAAGGAGGAGAAAAACAAUUUCUGUAUUUAUGUAAACAUUGUGCUCCAUGUAUGAAGAAUUCGAAGAUGCAAAGAUGGAGAAGAUAUACUGAUUGAAGAAACUACACUCGCCCACGAAGAAUAACGAGACGAACACGAUACAUUCAACGAAGAGAUGCCCGAUGACCACAGCUCUCAAGCUAUCACAUUUUUACAAAUUUUCGAAUGAUAAGAGUCUCUACCUAGCUUUCCAUUUAUUGAUUGUUGCUGCUCCUUGCGGUUACUGCUGUUCCUCUUCUUUUAUGAUCGUAACAUAGUAUUAAAAAAAUUAAACCCCCAUUAUUGCGAUA